rnacentral:rRNA from 1 species
CUGAUGCAGCGAGCCGCGUGAGCGAUGAAGUAUUUCGGUAUGUAAAGCUCUAUCAGCAGGGAAGAAAAUGACGGUACCUGACUAAGAAGCCCCGGCUAACUACGUGCCAGCAGCCGCGGUAAUACGUAGGGGGCAAGCGUUAUCCGGAUUUACUGGGUGUAAAGGGAGCGUAGACGGCAUGGCAAGCCUGAUGUGAAAGCCCGGGGCUCAACCCCGGGACUGCAUUUGGAACUGUCAGGCUAGAGUGUCGGAGAGGAAAGCGGAAUUCCUAGUGUAGCGGUGAAAUGCGUAGAUAUUAGGAGGAACACCAGUGGCGAAGGCGGCUUUCUGGACGAUGACUGACGUUGAGGCUCGAAAGCGUGGGGAGCAAACAGGAUUAGAUACCCUGGUAGUCCACGCUGUAAACGAUGAAUACUAGGUGUCGGGUGGCAAAGCCAUUCGGUGCCGCAGCAAACGCAAUAAGUAUUCCACCUGGGGAGUACGUUCGCAAGAAUGAAACUCAAAGGAAUUGACGGA